ensembl:rRNA 5S_rRNA 5S ribosomal RNA
GCUUACGGCCAUACCACCCUGAGCACGCCCGAUUUCGUCUGAUCUCGGAAGCUAAGCAGGGUUGGCCUUGGUUAGUACUUGGAUGGUAGGCUGCAUGGGAAUACCAAGUGCUGUAAGCU